rnacentral:rRNA from 1 species
UACGGAGGGUGCGAGCGUUGUUCGGAAUUACUGGGCGUAAAGCGCGUGUAGGCGGCCUUCUAAGUCUGGUGUGAAAGCCCGGGGCUCAACCCCGGAAGUGCAUUGGAUACUGGGAGGCUGGAGUACCGGAGAGGAGGGUGGAAUUCCUGGUGUAGCGGUGAAAUGCGUAGAUAUCAGGAGGAACACCGGUGGCGAAGGCGGCCCUCUGGACGGAUACUGACGCUGAGACGCGAAAGCGUGGGGAGCAAACAGGAUUAGAUACCCUGGUAGUCCACGCUGUAAACGAUGGGCACUAGGUGUUCGGGGUAUUGACCCCCUGAGUGCCGCAGCUAACGCAUUAAGUGCCCCGCCUGGGGAAUACGGCCGCAAGGUUAAA